rnacentral:misc_RNA from 1 species
AGUAAGUUUGUAGAUACCGAGACUUCAAAGUCAAGCCGCAUCCAAGAAGAUGACAUGGAUACCUAUAAGCCAAAGGUUUCCACCUGGGGAGUUUUCCCCAGACCGAAUGACAUCUCUAAAACUUUUGGCGGUGGAAGAACUAUACGUCCAGGAGAGGUACUUGAAUCAGCAGAAGAGAAGGCAUCCAAACAAGCACGUACGAGAGAGCUACUUGCUGCCUACAAGAGCAGAGUAGGCCUAACUAUUGACCCAAACCUAAAACUUGAAUGUGAGCAGUGCUGUCA